UCUUUUUGAGAUAACAAGCAAAUUGUAAAAAGUUGCAUUGAAAAAAAGAAACAACUUUAGGAUCAAGUGACAAAAAAAUAGGGUCAGUUGGGUAGCAGGAAACAAGACUAUUUUUUGGCCUUAUGUAAUAUUUAUGCACCUGUAAUAAAUUUAUGUAUGUAUUUGUUUUAUGCUCAAAAGGGCCCUGAUUAUAAACAGAUAUCAUAUUCAUAGAUUAUAAAAGAAAUAUUUAAUACUACAGGUGAAGCAAGCUAUGAACUAGACAGUGUAUUCAGCUUUCUCUGCUGAAAUAAUGUGACCAAAUCAAGUGUCACCUGGAAAGAGAAAUGUCAAGGGUGCUUUUUACAUUAACUCCAAAAUAGCCAUUGGAAAGUUCAAGCCAGAUCUGCUACAGCAAACUGAACAUAAAGUGGCAUACUUGUGUGUCAGGAAACGAGGAACAUGUAUGGCUGGACUGAGAAUCUAAUCGGGGAUUCCUGCAUCACUACUUACAUUGUACAUAUCCCAUGGAAAUAUAGGAUCCUUGGCUAAUCAAGUGUCAUCUGCGGUGUUACAAAAGAAUAUUGGAUUUAUAUCAAUAAGGUAUACAGAAAAGGGGGAGAUUGAUUGAUUGAUUGUAUACUGUUUAACGUCCCUCUCCAGAAUAUUUCACUGAUAUGAAGACGUCACCAUUGCCGGUGAAGGGCUGCAAAUUUAGGCCUAUGCUCGGCACUUACGGCCUUUGAGCAGGGAGGGAUCUUUAUCGUGCCACACCUGCUGUGACACGGGGCCUCGGUUUAUACGGUCUCAUCCGAAGGACCGCCCCAUUUAGUCGCCUUUUACGACAAGCAAGGGGGUACUGAGGACCUAUUCUAACCCGGAUCCCCACGGGAUGAAAAGGGGA